AGAUCCCACAGCCAUCCAUUGCUUUAAGAGAGGAAGCUUACAGCCUAAUUAUGAGUCAGCACAGAAUAUAUAAGGCCAUCUGUGUACUAAAAAAUCUCUAGACUUGGAAAGAAGAUCUGAUCUAUUCAGUUUUUUCACUAAGUAGUUACAGAUACUACCAGAGUAUUCUAACCAAUCCACAUGAGAACCUUAAGCAGCCACAUUGCCAUGUCCUGUGGAACAGGAGAUAAUACUGUGAACUGGGAAAGAUGCUGAGAUAAAAUCUCCUUUGACCUCUUGGUAAG